AAAUUGAAGAGUUUGAUCAUGGCUCAGAUUGAACGCUGGCGGCAGGCCUAACACAUGCAAGUCGAACGGUAACAGGAAGCAGCUUGCUGCUUCGCUGACGAGUGGCGGACGGGUGAGUAAUGUCUGGGAAACUGCCUGAUGGAGGGGGAUAACUACUGGAAACGGUGGUAACUACUGGAAACGGUGGC
rnacentral:rRNA from 1 species